ACUAUGUUCACACCACUGAACUCUAGCCGGAGUGACAGAGGGAGAUCCUGUCUCAAAAAAAAUUUGUACUUAAAAUCCCAGUGCCUAGAGACUACCUACUUCUCUGACUCUGAUGUUCUCAUCUCUAGGAGAUGGAGUGGAGUAUGCAGGGAUAGUGCCAGGUGGAGCAGAAGGGACAAUGAGGUCUGCUGGCCGGAACUUAGAGAAGCCUCCCUAGAGCAGCAGGAAGGACUUGAGCAGGGCUUUAAACAUGGUGGAGAGCUUUGUGUUGGCAGAUAAACAUGUAUGGCCAUUCUAGGUGGAGGGUACAACUCAAGCAAAAGCCCAGAGGCAGACAUGAAUGAAAUGUGAUGAGGAGUUGAACUGGAGAGUUUGGGUCAUGAAGAAGGAAAUGAGGGCCAGAAAGCCACUGGGGCUUCUUAAAUAGGGGCUUGUCAUUCUGAAAAUGGGGUUAAGUAGGGAAGGGAAUGAACAUUUAUUAAGCUUCUAUGAUUAUCUCUAAUACUUGGUACUACCCUGAAACUAUUCUUCCCAAUUUAUGUAUGAGAAUACUGAGGCUUAUAGCGAUAAAACAAGGUGUCAGGGUUCAUUUAACUAGUAAGUGGCAGAGCCAAGAAUGUAGCAGGAGUGUUAAGAGACAAAAAGUUUUGAGAAAUAGGAGUAAAAUUUAGGUUGAAAGAGGCAAAUCCUAAUUAAUAAAGUGCCGGGCAGAUCCUUAAGUGCUGAGAGUAGAAACCCAGGUAGGUGUUAAAAUAUAUAUUUCCUCCCUUUGGAAAUAAUUUUGAGACAAUGGGUUCUAGAUGCCACCCUUAGUGCUGUCCAGUGGUCAAAGGGCUCAAGAUUAUUAUCUCCAUUUCCUGUAUCUAGGGAAGGCUUUGCCCAGCACGCUCUGGUGGCAUCUACCCAAAUUGCUGGCAUAGAACCAUGGAGGAGAUGCAUGCUUUCUGGGGCAAAGCUUUUCUAAGUGUGGUAAAGAGAUAAUGUCUUGUUUUUGCCUCUUCUAUCAUUCAUUUCUAGGGAUAUCUACCUAUCUACUUACCUAUCUAGUGCCCAGGAGAGUGCUUGAGUAAAUAUCUGAUAACCAUUAGGUUCCCUCUUCCCACUAUGGUGUUUGAAUAUUGGUUCCCAAACUUUACUGUGUGCCACAAUCCUGUGGAGAGCUUGUUAAUGAUCUCUUCCCACUCCUGGGUUCUGAUUUAGUAGCUGUGGGGUGCAUCUAUGAAAGCUAAAGUUUUAACAUGCCCCUGACGGCUUUCAGUGCAAUUGUUCCCUGGACCACACUUAGAAAAGUUCUGCUUUAGAAGGCAUGCAUCUCCCUGAGCUCUAUGCCAGCAAUUCAGGUAGAUGCCAGCAGAGGGUGCUAGGCAGAGCUUUCCCUGGGUACAGGAAAUUGAGGCAAUGUUCUCAGGCCCUUUUAAGGAUGAAGGGUCUUUACUCUGUGGAUGGGAGGAUCUUCAGUGAGCAGGCACUGAAGAGAAUGUGGUUCUUCCAGCUGACUCUGAAUAAAGACCUACAAAAGCUGGCAGCCAGACCCACUAUGCUACUAAAAGAAAGCAACUGUGUGUUUGAAUAAGCCCCAGCUUAGCGACACAGGUCCCUGCUUUGCUGCUAAUUCAUUCAAUGACAUUAGGCAGGACUCUCUCUCCGGCUGCAAUUCAGUUCCUAUUAAAAAAUGAAGAGAUUGAUGCACUUGUUAACCUUUGCAGUCUCUGCCUCCCAUGAGGCAAGACCCCUUUCCCCCAAGCCUGCUUUAGAGGGGCUGCUCAUCCUUCCAUCUGCAGGGGCCUCUCAGGCUGAUGUCCUUUGGGGAACCUAGCCUGGGGCCUCUCUUUCACAGAGAAGCAUAUUAUAAUGAAAAGAUUUGGCUUCAGAUCAUCCAUUUGGAAAGUGAGAGAAGCUGACCAUUUGUGGCCUCUGGAGCCAGCUUGCCAGCAUUGAUUCUGUUCCUCUUUUCUAUCCACUGGGGCUGUUGAUAAGGAUGUUUUUAGAGUGUUUUGAGCUUAGUGCCAAGAAAGCUGGGCUGCUGUCACAUAUGGCUGAGGAAUCACAGUGCACACAGCCACUGCAUUGCACAAUGCCAGGAGCAUAAUUGACAUUACGGCCCACAUGAAUGGUGCCCCCGAAACUGUGUGGUGAACAACCUGAGUGGUCAUUCGGGGUGUCCCCGGAAGAGCACGUAGUCUUGGUGGUAUAUCCUUUUCCUUUCAAGAGGCUGUUCAUGGUUCCUUUUAUGCACUAUCUUUGCAUAUUGCAGAAAGCUAAGUGGCUAAGCUAUAUUCAAGAACUAUCUUGAAUAUAGCAACGCCUAUGGCUAGAAAUGUCUUCAAUGGCAUACACAGACAGUAUUUGUAGAGUUCACUUUAUCCAAGUGUAUAAGCCAUCAGCUCAGGAGUCUGUGGCGGGGUGUGUAGUCGCCAUCAGUCUUCUCUAUCUUGCCUUACAUACAAGAAGUUGAAGACUUCCAUGGAGAUUUUGGUGAAGGGGGAGAUGUUUUUCAGUUCUGCAUGGAGCCAGAGAUAAGAGUCUCCCAGAAAAGUGCAGCUUCCCCUCUCCCUCUCCCAAAUGAUUGAUGCCAUUUUGGCCACCCGGUGACAAACAACAGAGCAGAGGUGAAAAGUCCCUUGUAGCAAUUCAUGCCAGGCUGCCUUGUGCAGCCUUGAGAGCAUCUCCUUACGUGUUGCACCUAGGUAGCUCACUCAUCCCUGGGACAUAUGCAUCACCUAGUUGGAAGUCAGCCCUGUGCUAGGUAUAUGGGUGCAAAAAUCAAUAAAGCAUGGCCCUAUGUAUAAGGACUUGACAUUUGAUUGGAGAAGCUAACAGGAAGCCCAGUGAUUCUCACUGGCCAUGAGAUUCCCUUGGUGGGUUUCAUGGAAGGUCCCAUAGGGGCAAUUGGUGAGGCAUCUGGUCUUCCCGGGGAGUCUGAGAAGCCUUCCCUGAAAAGAAGUGGUCCUGGAGCAGAGAAGACCUAGAAGGGGAGGAGUUUGAAAGGAAGGGAGGAGGAGUUUGAAGGGAAGGGAGGAAGGAAGGGGCAUUCCAGGAAGCCUUGGACAAAGGCGUUGCAGCAAGAGAGAGCUAAGUGUUUGGAAAACCACAUAUUACUUAGUGGGAUUGAGAUGAAAAUUACCUGAGCUGGGUGCUGGGAAAGGGAGUGGGAAGUGGCCAGAGAGCCAGCGUGUGAUGGAGCCUCUAUUCUUUGCAAAGUGGUAAAAAGAAUUUCUAUUCUGCAAACCAGGGGGACCUGCUGAAGAAUUUUGUGCAGGAAAGUGACAUGAUCAGAAUUGCAUUUUAGGAGUAUCACUCUGAUGGAAAUGUGGAGAAUUGACUGGCUGAAGGGAGGUGGGAACAGAGACAUAAUGAGCAGUUGGAGUCCAGGUGAGGGGUGCUGGAACCCCCAAGGGGGAAAGGAGGCCCAAUCCACUGUCCUAACCCCUUGCCUUGCCCAGAGGUGGGAGAAUUGCUUCCAGCCUCUCCAGCCCAGGCAGCAGCCCUGGAAGCUGCAGUCAUGGGGUGAGGGUGAGGUUCGCUCGCAGUGCAGUGGGGAGAACUUGGGGAACUCUUUCUGCUCCAUGACCUGGAACCUCUUGCAGAGCCAGGGUCAGCCAGCUCCAGGAGAGGGUGUCCAGACAGCUGAAUGGAGGAGGGCACCUUCACCCACAGGAAGAAGAAGCCAGAGGCUGCCCCUGGGAACCCUGUCUCAGGACUGAGUCCCCCCACUUCCAAGUAAGAGGCACCAUGAAUUACCCCUGACUCCCCAACCCCUCCCCAUGUUUCUAUGGCAAUCCCUUCCCUGUGCUUUCCUCAUUGCUGCUCUCGGAUUGUCUCCCAGCUCCUCCAGGAGUGCCAGGGAAGGGAGCUAAUUACCUUGCUAUAAAUACCAGCCAGAAUGAGCUCCUAGGGCCCUAGACCUGGCUUUUCUUUUUCAGUGCUCCGUGGUGGGUUGGGCAGUAGUGAGUGGGUAGAGUCUACACGGCAACCCACUGAUGACAUAUGUGAUACAUUCCUUCACCCCCUGAUGGGCUCAGCUGCGCCUACCUCCCCCACUUAACAGGUGGAGUAGAAAGACAGGAGCAGCAGCGUUGGGGGGGCAUCCACUAAGCGCCAGGCACGGUGCUAGGCUCCAGGAAUCGAGGGAUGAAUCAGAGCCUGCCGCUGCUUUCAAGGAACUCACUGUCUAGAGAGGAAGGCAGGCCCGCUGCACGUAGCUGUGAUGAGAGGCGUGAUGUGGGGAGCAGGCGGGAGCCCCAGGUCUGCCUAGGGGAGGCAUGGAGGGCUUUAUGGGGGAGGUGGCCUGGAUAGCUGAUGCUGAGAGUUGGCGAGAUGGAGAGGCCCGGAGGGCAUUCCAGAUGGAAGGUUCUGGGCAGGGAAGGCUAGAGAUGUGCAGGGGCCAGCAGGGAGCAGAGCUGGCCCUCUGUGACUCUGGCCCUGCAUGUCCUGGAGGAAGGAGGGAGAAUGCAAAGUACAGCUGCGACUGCCAUUGCCUGAGUGCAGUGUCCUGGGUCAGUGGGGACCACAGGAGGCUCUCUGGCUGCCUUGUGGCCCAACCAGAUGCAUGCUGAGGGAAGAUCACUCCAGAAGGAGGCUGGACUAGGAUGCUCCCUUUCUAGUCGCUGAGCUUCAUUAUCUCAAAAAAGCCAGCCUGGAGGGCUGGAGCUCAGAAGGAGGUGACGGCAGUGGGCAAGGAACCACUAUGAGAACGCAAUUAACAUCUCACAAACACAACAGAAAUGCAAACACCUCGCUGCGGAGUGGAAUUAUGCACAAGGGGGAGGGAGAAAAAAAAUUCUUCCCCUAAUAGCUCCCGACUUUCAUUAGUACUGACAGUGAAGGCUGCGUUGUCGCUGUGUUCCAUGGUAACCGUUUCCAGGAAGAGAGGCGCCUCCGGAGGAGCACGGUUCUGAGGACUUUCAAUCAGUCCGAGAGCUUAGCCAGACAAAACGUCUUGUCGCUGGCUUCACAGCCUCUGCGGGCGCCGGCGGGAGAGGGACAAAGAGGCUCAAGAUGUCAGGGAAAGCAAGUGGCUUUGCUGUGGGCCUCAAGGGAUCAGAGAGAUGAGCAUCUUUUGGUGGCCUGGCCCUGCGCCAAACAAAGUGCCCGCGGUCUGGGCGGUGGAAGCGCGUAGUAGGUUCGGUGGCCGCAUGGGGAGACAGCUUAGAAAUAAGGAGAGCCCUCACAGCUCCGUCCUUCAUUGCACCAGGUGCGUGUGGGGGCCUGCCCGGUUCCGAGACCCUGCCAUGGGCACUUGGGGUGUGCUCUCUCUCGAGGGGCGUGCCUGCCGGCAGAGUGGGGCUGGCCACCAACAGGAUGCACGGUGAAAGGUCUGCAGGAAGGUAGACAGUGAUAAAAGGGAAAGCAGGAGGGUGGUGGGAGGACACGGGAAGUGUCAGUGGGUGAGGGGGCUGUGGUUUUAAGUAGGGUGGGCACCCGAGGCCUCGCUGAGAAGGCAGCACGUGAGAGAGACGUGAAGGAGGGCACUCCGGGCAGAGGGACGGCCACUGCAGAGGCUCCAAGGGGCAGCGAGAUGGCCGGCGUGGCUGGAGAGGAGGAAGGCGGAGAGACACAGGGUGCCACGUGGUAGCAGGGCCAGGUCGGGUGGGCUGUGUAGCGCCGUCUCCAAGCGGUGCCAUGUGUGCUGGUGGGAGCUGGGACAGGCAGGUGGUGGCCAGCACUCUGCUUCCUCCCCUGCCGUCCCCACCCACCAGAGCGGCUGCGCGUGCUAUCUGUCCCACAGAUUGGAGUUCGGUAUAAGAUUUGACUUGGAUCACGCCUUCUGCAACUUAACGAGUGUUAGAAAUCCACUGAUUGGGUCUUGUACAGAUGGGGAAACUGAGCCUCAAAAAGGGCCGGUGACUUGUCUGAGGCCCCCACAGCCAAUUCAGUGGAAGAAACGGAGCUCAGGCCUAGGACGUCUGGAGCAGGCUGUUUCCAUGGUCUGUGUCCGAGCCGCGGGAGGUCCUGGGAGUUGGGUCGGGCCUGUGACACAGUCCCCAUCAGCUGGAGGCACACAGACCCCCAGCCCGAGAGGCUCCAUUUGUACUGACAGCCGCACCCCAUGGCUCACAUCACUGCCUCCUCCCUCGCUCCCCACCCCAUCCGUGGAAAAAUUGUUUUCCAUGAAACCGGUCCCCGGUGCCAAAACGUUGGGGACCACUGUCCUAGAGGGCUUGUUAAAACACAGACUGUUGGUCCCAACCCUGCAGAGUCUCUGAUUCAGUAGGUCUGGGGUGGAGCCUGAGAUUUUGCACUUCUAACAAGUUCCCAGGUGACGCUGGUGCUGGGAGAUGAAACUUUGAGAGCCGGCGUCUCAGACCCGCAGGAGGCUUGUGGGAGGAGAAGAAACCGGAGACCAUGUAUGGGCUGGAUGUGCAGAAAGUCCAGAUGGAGGGAUGUGUUUGGAGCCGGACCCAGGAGGAAGCCCGUGCUCCAGCCCGGGGAGCUGCUGACUCUACACACCUGGUGGCCAGCUGCUCCCUUCUGGCUCCAUCACAGCCCCUGAUGUCACGUGCAAACAAGAGGCAGCCGGUCCUCCAGCCCUGCUUCUUCUAACCACAUAUCUCUUGGCCUCUGGAUAGAAUGAAACUGGGCGAAUUCUAAGAUGCUAAUGGAGACAAGCAAGAAAACAGAAAACCAAACAGAGAAGAAGCCAAAGUCAGCAUUUCUAGGUUCUAAUCCCUUCCCCAAAGUUCUCAGAGACACCUGUCAUUCUGGGAGUAUUAUGGGUCCCCAAUACUUGAAAAUAGUCACAUGAAAAUUAAUAUGUUAUCUGUCACGUAAUGAUAUUCUUUGCCUUUUGGCAUUUCACAGCCUGGCUUUCAGACUGCAUAUAUAUGACUUGGCCCUAACCUAUACCAAUUGACCAUGAAAUAGUUAACUGUCCCCACUCCCUGUGCUUUUCUUCCUGUGUUUUUACUCUCAAAGUUCCAGCUGAAGGAUCCUUCUCCCUCUGAUAAGGUCCCCAAAAAAUCUUUCUCUACUUUUGGUGCUCAAAUCUGGGUUUGGCAAACUAUAGCCUAUGGGCAAAAUCUACCCCACUGCCUGUUUUUAUAAAUAAAGUUUUAUUGAAACCUG